GCUCUGGUAGCACAAUUGGUUAGUGCGUUGGACUUUUAUCGCCGGCCUGAAAUAAGGACCUCUAAGGAAUCCAAAGGUUGCGGGUUCGAGUCCCGCCUGGAGCG